UUUGUGCUUUAAUUGGCGGAGAAGAGAGAAUCGGUGAAAAGUUUAUUUUUUAUUAAUUUGGAAUAUUCGAAAACUGUGAACUGUGAAAAGUUAUUGGAGUAUUUUAUGGAAUCAUACGUGAGCAUCUUCGAAAGUAGCUACUACCGAUAAACCGAUCGCGUGCCGUAGCCUCUUUGAAAGGAAGACACGUAAAAGCACGGGAAUAAAUUCUACCUCUGAACAUUGUAGAGCAUCCAGAAACAACAAUUUCCUCGCGAUGAAAAGAAAAAAAAAAAGAAAAUAGCCGGAAGAAAGAUCGUUAACGAAAGUCGUUAACAUUAGGAUCUGAGAAUGGGAUCAUCUGUUUCUCAGUGAAUUAACAACGUUGAUUUGCAAGCACUCCACGGCGCAUUCGCACGGCCAAGUGGCAGUGAAACAUUCGUCAGCUGAUAAGUAGUAUAACCGGCUUCUAAUUAUUUCCUACUCACCCGGUAGUUUUCAACCGACGUGAUCGGAAUAUCGGCGAAAUCGCGCGAACACCCAGACGACUAAUUCGUCACCAACACGAUCCGACCCGCCCUUAUCCGACCGGAUAUCGAACAUUCAGUAUAACAGUACGUUCUCUAUCGAUCGUUCCAAGGAUAUAUAUAUACACAUAUGGAAACGUGACGGAUCCAGGAUGGAACCUUGAGAAAUCGAUAGAAAUUGAUGGAUUAUGAAAUUGCUGGAUAAUGUGAUCCAUGUAUCUGAAGGCUGAUUACGUGGAUGAAGAUCCACGGAAUUCGUAAUUUCAUUUAUUAUGAAGAUUAAAGAUUCGAGAGAGGAGUUUAAAUAGAUCAACAGAAGUUGGCGAUUAAUGUGACUUAAAAGGGGUUUAAUUUAUUUAUUUCGUUAGAGUAAAUAUAUCGAAAGUGGUGUUUAAAUUACAAACUACAGUGAAGAUGUGUUUCGAAAAGUCGAGCAGGAUAUUACAUCGAAUAUUGUGUGUCCGCUCAUCCGUGAAAAUCAAUGGUACAAUUGACGACGUACGAUGUAAGAAUGUAAAAGCAGAUAAGAAUGAUAGCUCUUGUAAGCUGUUGAAGCUUCGCUAAUCUCGAUCAUAUAAGAUAAAUCCACCUUUGUAUCAAGCGAAUACAAAUAUGGCAUCAAUAUGCAUCAGAAUGAGAAAACGAAGUGUGAACUUAUAAAGUUACUCACAUCCAGCGAACUCCGAUUUCUUAAUAUGCUUUUCACUCUGUUAAUUAUAUAUCAAUUAAUUGAAUAUUUAAAUCGACCCACGCAGUAACAAGAAACGAAAGGUUCAAGAAAUUUGGGGUGUUUAAGGAAAAUAUCAAACUCAAAGCAAAGGUUGGCACCGAAAUGUCUACGAUUUUACAGUAUUAUCAAACUUUAUGACAUAGAAUUAGUAACUCUUUAAAUACACCAUAAACUAUUGCACGCAUAAAUUUCCACUUCAGAUGUUUUAUUGGAGUUUUUACGCCCAUUCUAAAUAAGAUACGCGAAUAUUUUACGAUCUUUUCACGUAAGGAGAAAAUAUUCCAAAUUUUAGAAGGUAUCGAGAAUUUAUGCAGCCGAGAAGCAUAAAUUUCUGUUACGAAAUGACAAACUAUACGCUUAAACGAAGCAUAUACUGCUUGCAGAGAUAUCCGAGUGUAUAAAAUACAUAUAUAUAUAUAUAUAUAUA